UACAGAGGUCUCAAGCGUUGUCCGGAAUCACUGGGCGUAAAGCGCGCGCAGGUGGUUUCUUAAGUCUGAUGUGAAAGCCCACGGCUCAACCGUGGAGGGUCAUUGGAAACUGGGGAACUUGAGUGCAGGAGAGAAGAGUGGAAUUCCACGUGUAGCGGUGAAAUGCGUAGAGAUGUGGAGGAACACCAGUGGCGAAGGCGACUCUUUGGCCUGUAACUGACACUGAGGCGCGAAAGCGUGGGGAGCAAACAGG
rnacentral:rRNA from 1 species